rnacentral:rRNA from 1 species
UACGUAGGGGGCGAGCGUUGUCCGGAUUUAUUGGGCGUAAAGAGCUCGUAGGCGGUUCGAUAAGUCGGACGUGAAAUCUCCACGCUCAACGUGGAGGGGCCGUUCGAUACUGUCGUGACUCGAGUCCGGUAGGGGAGUGUGGAAUUCCCGGUGUAGCGGUGAAAUGCGCAGAGAUCGGGAGGAACACCCGUAGCGAAGGCGGCACUCUGGGCCGGUACUGACGCUGAGGAGCGAAAGCGUGGGAGCAACAGG